GGACGAACGCUGGCGGCGUGCUUAACACAUGCAAGUCGAGCGAUGAAGCUCUUCGGAAGUGGAUUAGCGGCGGACGGGUGAGUAACACGUGGGUAACCUGCCUCAUAGAGGGGAAUAGCCUUCCGAAAGGAAGAUUAAUACCGCAUAAGAUUGUAAUAUUGCAUGAUAUAGCAAUUAAAGGAGUAAUCCGCUAUGAGAUGGACCCGCGUCGCAUUAGCUAGUUGGUGAGGUAACGGCUCACCAAGGCGACGAUGCGUAGCCGACCUGAGAGGGUGAUCGGCCACAUUGGGACUGAGACACGGCCCAGACUCCUACGGGAGGCAGCAGUGGGGAAUAUUGCACAAUGGGGGAAACCCUGAUGCAGCAAACCGCCGCGUGAGUGAUGACGGUCUUCGGAUUGUAAAGCUCUGUCUUCAGGGACGAUAAUGACGGUACCUGAGGAGGAAGCCACGGCUAACUACGUGCCAGCAGCAGC
rnacentral:rRNA from 1 species